GCCAGCAACAUAGCCUUUGAUUGGGCCUCGGGGAUUCUCAACGAACAAACCUUCACGCGCGACCGGUGGCGGCGAGACCUGGGGCUGCGUGAUGGUGCGCGGUGGGCGGACCGUACGACGAGCUUCCGGUGCAGCUGCUCGNCCGGAGCCUGAACGACAACGGGUGGAAGUGACUCUUGACCGAAAACAUCAGUCGCAGUUCCCGCACUUAGCGCCAGAUAGCUAGCAGCACCUAAGCUCCACAGGCGAAUCGUUGAUUGC
rnacentral:misc_RNA from 1 species